CCCUUAGAUGUUCUGGGCUGCACGCGCGCUACACUGAAGCGUUCAACGAGUAUUCACCUUGCCCGGGAGGGUUGGGUAAUCUUUUGAAAACGCUUCGUGAUGGGGAUAGAUUAUUGCAAUUAUUAAUCUUCAACGAGGAAUUCCUAGUAAGCGCGAGUCAUCAGCUCGUGCUGAUUACGUCCCUGCCCUUUGUACACACCGCCCGUCGCUCCUACCGAUUGAAUGGUCCGGUGAAUCUUUAGGACUGUGGCUGAGGCCUUGCCUUGUGCGGGUCUGGCCGUGGGAAUUUAGUUAAACCUUACCAUUUAGAGGAAGGUGAAGUCGUAACA
rnacentral:rRNA from 1 species